UACGAAGGGGGGCUAGCGUUACUCGGAUUGACUGGGCGUAAAGGGCGCGUAGGCGGAUGGUACAGUCAGACGUGAAAUUCCUGGGCUCAACCUGGGGGCUGCGUUUGAUACGUGCUGUCUGGAGUUCGGAAGAGGGUCGUGGAAUUCCCAGUGUAGAGGUGAAAUUCGUAGAUAUUGGGGAAGAACACCGGUGGCGAAGGCGGCGACCUGGUCCGAUACUGACGCUGAGGCGCGAAAGCGUGGGGAGCAAACAGG
rnacentral:rRNA from 1 species